GCGUGGGUCGGCCCGCUGUACUGGAUCCAGUGGGCUGGGGGACACCGCCGCCUACAUCCCCGCGGGCGGCGGACCGGUCCGGGAGGCGAACUCCGCCUCCCGGACUGUG
rfam:Streptomyces sp. WAC00263 NODE_2657_length_4829_cov_5.303583, whole genome shotgun sequence.